UACGGGGGGGGCAAGCGUUGUCCGGAAUUACUGGGCGUAAAGGGCUCGUAGGCGGCCAACUAAGUCAGACGUGAAAUCCCUCGGCUUAACCGGGGAACUGCAUCUGAUACUGGAUGGCUCGAGUUUGGGAGAGGGAUGCGGAAUUCCAGGUGUAGCGGUGAAAUGCGUAGAUAUCUGGAGGAACACCGGUGGCGAAGGCGGCAUCCUGGACCAACACUGACGCUGAGGAGCGAAAGCCAGGGGAGCAAACGGG
rnacentral:rRNA from 1 species